CGGGUGAGUAACACGUGGAUAACCUACCUAUAAGACUGGGAUAACUUCGGGAAACCGGAGCUAAUACCGGAUAAUAUAUUGAACCGCAUGGUUCAAUAGUGAAAGACGGUUUUGCUGUCACUUAUAGAUUGAUCCGCGCCGCAUUAGCUAGUUGGUAAGGUAACGGCUUACCAAGGCAACGAUGCGUAGCCGACCUGAGAGGGUGAUCGGCCACACUGGAACUGAGACACGGUCCAG
rnacentral:rRNA from 1 species